CGUAAGACGGUAGAAAGCGCUCUGGCUUUGACGAUGCCUGAUGAAGCGAUGAUUGUUGGGUGUCAGGUAGCAGCACAACUUCGUUCAUUGAAGAUGAUGCUACAUUUUCUAUAUUGGUGCCUAACAUCGUCCACGUCCUUAGAAAUCUGAUGGAAGCAGCCUACAGACACACGAGCCCAGCCCCAAACUACUAUACAACACUCCAAGAAAUCAUACCCACAAUGGAGCAGGUGAA